rnacentral:lncRNA from 1 species
UUCUGCAUCAGUCCCUUCCACUUGAACACGACUCGUCCUCGAGUUUUCAUCUGGAUAUAGUUGUUCCUCAGGGCUGUGGUAUUCAUAGAUAUCAGUGACAUUAAAAGUCUUUGAAAUUCCCAUAUCCUCUGGUAGAUCCACUAUGUAAGCAUUGUUAUUGAUUCUUUUCAAAAUUCUGUAUGGACCAUACUUCCUUUGUUUCCAUUUGCUGUAAGUUCCUACUGAAAAUCUUUCUUUGCGCAGGAAAACCAUCACCAUGUCACCCUC